AGAGUUUGAUCCUGGCUCAGGAUGAACGCUGGCGGCGCGCCUAACACAUGCAAGUCGAACGGCACCUGCCCUCGGGCAGAAGCGAGUGGCGAACGGCUGAGUAACACGUGGAGAACCUGCCCCCUCCCCCGGGAUAGCCGCCCGAAAGGACGGGUAAUACCGGAUACCCCGGGGUGCCGCAUGGCACCCCGGCUAAAGCCCCGACGGGAGGGGAUGGCUCCGCGGCCCAUCAGGUAGACGGCGGGGUGACGGCCCACCGUGCCGACAACGGGUAGCCGGGUUGAGAGACCGACCGGCCAGAUUGGGACUGAGACACGGCCCAGACUCCUACGGGAGGCAGCAGUGGGGAAUCUUGCGCAAUGGGGGGAACCCUGACGCAGCGACGCCGCGUGCGGGACGGAGGCCUUCGGGUCGUAAACCGCUUUCAGCAGGGAAGAGUCAAGACUGUACCUGCAGAAGAAGCCCCGGCUAACUACGUGCCAGCAGCCGCGGUAAUACGUAGGGGGCGAGCGUUGUCCGGAAUCACUGGGCUUAAAGCGUCUGAAGGCGGUUAACGGGGAGUGGGCAUUAAAAGACUGGUGAAACAUCAGGGCGGUGCCCAGGACCCCCUAGCUAGAGAGCCGAAGAGGCAGGCAGAAUUCCUGGUGUAGCGGUGAAAUGCGCAGAGAUCAGGAGGAAUACCAGAGGCGAAGGCGGCCUGCUGGGCGGACUCGGACGCUAAAGGACGAAAGCGUGGGGAGCGAACAGGAUUAGAUACCCUGGUAGUCCACGCUGUAAACGAUGAAUGCCAGAUUUCGGUUAGGGAAUCGGGAUCGAAGAGAAAUCGGAAGCAUUCCGCCUGGGGAGUACGGCCGCAAGGCUAAAACUCAAAGGAAUUGACGGGGACCCGCACAAGCAGCGGAGCAUGUGGUUUAAUUCGAAGCAACACGAAGAACCUUACCAGGUCUUGACAUGACGGAAGAGCCGGAGAGAUCCGGGGAAAUGCCGUCACAGGUGGUGCAUGGUUGUCGUCAGCUCGUGGCGUGAGAUGUUGGGUUAAGUCCUAAAACGAGCGCAACCCCUACCCGGAGUUACCAGCGGGGAAGCCGGGGACGCUACGGGGACAGCCGUAGUCAAUACGGAGGAAGGCGGGGACGACGUCAAAUCAUCAUGCCCCUGACGAUCUGGGCCACACACGUGCUACAAUGGGCCGGACAGAGGGGAGCGAAGGAGCGAUCCGGAGCCAAUCCCAGAAACCGGUUCCCAGUUCGGACUGCAGGCUGCAACCCGCCUGCACGAAGCCGGAGUUGCUAGUAAUCGCGGAUCAGCGAGCCGCGGUGAAUGCGUACCCGGGUCUUGCACACACCGCCCGUCA
rnacentral:rRNA from 1 species